rnacentral:misc_RNA from 1 species
UUCACAAUGUAAGUCAUUCUAGCAUUUCCUACAUUCAUAUUGAUGUUAAUGAAUCUAGACAUGUAUAUCUAUAUAAAUUCAUUAACAUCUAUAUGAAUGUAGGAAAUGCUAGAAUGAACUACAUUGUGAA